rnacentral:lncRNA from 1 species
CGUGCAGGUUCGUUACAUAGGUAUACAUGUGCCAUGGUGGUUUGCUGAACCUAUCAAACCGUCAUCUUCAUAGAUAAGGCCUUCAGUAUAUCAAGAUCAGUGGAUCAAAGAAACAUCUUCAAGAAACUAAGAGGCAACACAAGAUUCUCUCUGAUGAAAUGCUUAAGUAUAAGGAAAAUGAUGGAAAACACAGAAGAGCAGCAGAAGUGGGUAGAAGACUACUACAGAUGCCAGAUCGCCACUUCUGAAAGAAAGGCUCACGACAACUGGGUAAGUUUUUUUUUUUCUUUCCUUGCUUUUCGACAUAAUCUGCCAGGUCAGGACGUGGAUGUAUUUUUCUCCCCCACAGCUCUGUGUUUAAGCCUUGCAGAGGGAGAUGCAAGAGAAGAAGGCUGCCUACAAGCAUGCACACCACUUGGACAAGCUGAAAUUUGAAGAGGCCCCUGAGCUGUGACAGCCAUGCUGUGGCUCCUACAUAACUUGGAAAAGUAUCCAAUAUGUUUUAUGCUGCCUGCCCACUGCUGCCUCAUCUGUCUCUAAUCUUCCAUAGUGUUUCCCCUAAUAAAGGUUUG